rnacentral:rRNA from 1 species
GAUGAACGCUGGCGGCGUGCCUAAUACAUGCAAGUCGAGCGAACAGACGAGGAGCUUGCUCCUUUGACGUUAGCGGCGGACGGGUGAGUAACACGUGGAUAACCUACCUAUAAGACUGGGAUAACUUCGGGAAACCGGAGCUAAUACCGGAUAACAUGUUGAACCGCAUGGUUCAACAGUGAAAGACGGUCUUGCUGUCACUUAUAGAUGGAUCCGCGCCGCAUUAGCUAGUUGGUAAGGUAACGGCUUACCAAGGCAACGAUGCGUAGCCGACCUGAGAGGGUGAUCGGCCACACUGGAAAUGAGACACGGUCCAGACUCCUACGGGAGGCAGCAGUAGGGAAUCUUCCGCAAUGGGCGAAAGCCUGACGGAGCAACGCCGCGUGAGUGAAGAAGGUCUUCGGAUCGUAAAACUCUGUUAUUAGGGAAGAACAAAUGUGUAAGUAACUAUGCACGUCUUGACGGUACCUAAUCAGAAAGCCACGGCUAACUACGUG